GCUUCAGUAGCUUAAAUAAAGCAUCGAUCUUGUAAGUCGAAAGCCGGGUUCUUAAAUUACCCCUGAUGCA
rnacentral:tRNA from 1 species